rnacentral:rRNA from 1 species
CAGUCGCCGCGGGAAUACAUAGGUGGCGAGCGUUAUCCGGAUUUAUUGGGCGUAAAGGGUGCGUAGAUGGUUUUGUAAGUCUAAAAUUAAAGCCCAAGGCUCAACCUUGGUUUGUUUUAGAUACUACUUAACUAGAGUAUAGGAGAGGUUAGUGGAAUUUCAUAUGGAGCGGUGGAAUGCGUAGAUAUAUGAAGGAACACCAGUGGCGAAGGCGACUAACUGGCCUAUUACUGACAUUGAGGCACAAAAGCGUGGGGAGCAAAUAGGAUUAGAGACCCCAGUAGUCCCUGUCUCUUAUACA